GGUGUCACGACUUCGUCCACGACUUCGUCCACGAUCGCAGAGACAUGGUCCAUGAUCGGAGAGACAUUGUUGAGGAUGAGGGAGACAUCGUCCUCGAUCAGAGACAUUGUCCACGAUCACAGAGACCUUGUCAAAGAUGAGAGAGAUGUUGUCUGUGAUCAGAGACAUUGUCCCAUGCUUCGUAGAGACCUUGCGAUAGAAUCGGCGGAGACGGGGGUCACCGAUUUGACGGCAUUGCCCGCGAUCAUGGAGACAUUGUUGAAGCUCACAGAGACGGCGUCUAUGAUCUCAGAGACAUCGUCCAUGAUCGCAAAGACAUUGGCCAUGAUCACAGAGACUUUGUCCAUAAUCUCAGAGACAUUGUCCGCGAUCACAGAGACGUAGUCCAUGAUCACAGAGAGUCUUUGUACAAUGAAGAAGUUCUUUGAGACCAGGACAGAGGCCUCCAGGUGUCACGACUUCGUCCACGACUUCGUCCACGAUCGCAGAGACAUGGUCCAUGAUCGGAGAGACAUUGUUGAGGAUGAGGGAGACAUCGUCCUCGAUCAGAGACAUUGUCCACGAUCACAGAGACCUUGUCAAAGAUGAGAGAGAUGUUGUCUGUGAUCGGAGACAUUGUCCCAUGCUUCGUAGAGACCUUGCGAUAGAAUCGGCGGAGACGGGGGUCACCGAUUUGACGGCAUUGCCCGCGAUCAUGGAGACAUUGUUGAAGCUCACAGAGACGGCGUCUAUGAUCUCAGAGACAUCGUCCAUGAUCGCAAAGACAUUGGCCAUGAUCACAGAGACUUUGUCCAUAAUCUCAGAGACAUUGUCCGCGAUCACAGAGACGUAGUCCAUGAUCACAGAGAGUCUUUGUACAAUGAAGAAGUUCUUUGAGACCAGGACAGAGGCCUCCAGGUGUCACGACUUCGUCCACGACUUCGUCCACGAUCGCAGAGACAUGGUCCAUGAUCGGAGAGACAUUGUUGAGGAUGAGGGAGACAUCGUCCUCGAUCAGAGACAUUGUCCACGAUCACAGAGACCUUGUCAAAGAUGAGAGAGAUGUUGUCUGUGAUCGGAGACAUUGUCCCAUGCUUCGUAGAGACCUUGCGAUAGAAUCGGCGGAGACGGGGGUCACCGAUUUGACGGCAUUGCCCGCGAUCAUGGAGACAUUGUUGAAGCUCACAGAGAUGGCGUCUAUGAUCUCAGAGACAUCGUCCAUG